GGCUUGUUUUUUUAAACAGGAAUAUUCGUCCUUUACUAGACACACUUAAUGUUUACACACCAAUGUCAAAUAUACCCAGAGGUUGAUGUCCGUGUCCCAUCCAUUCCUCCCAUCCCUCCUCCCAUCCCGGGCUUCUCUUCCUGUCUUGUGCUGGGACAGCAUCUUUUUUUUUUUCUUUUUUAGCACCUUUAUUGACGAAUAAUUUCCGGCUUAUUUAAAGUUUAUGCUCUUGCUCGAAAGUCAGCGGGUCCUUAUUGAAUGUCUCCGUCCCGCCCUCAGCCCCUCACUUCCAGGUGUGCACCUUCCCAUGCCGAAAUGAUUACAUACAGACAUCAGAACAGGGGACAGUUUCUCUUCGUUGUACCAAAAUGGGUCUUUUAUUACACGGGGUUCUGCCUCUUGCUUUUCUCAUCUAACAGUAUCUUGGGGGACUCUCCAAGUUAUCGGCUUCUUCAUCUCUUUCUUGCUCGUUUCUCAGAGGUUUGGACUUACAUCUGUAAAGGGUCACGGGAACCGAAUUUCGGUGAGGAAUUCAAGACGUGACUUUCUGACUCAGAAAAGCCGAGGUGCCCGGCUUUGGAAGGGUCAGGGCUCCCAAAUUCGCUCCCCACUCUAGGACCUUUCCUGUUCGUAAAAUCGGGGCCGUUUAGGCCGUCCGGUGCCCUCUUGGGAGGCGGUGACACCAGGGUGACCCCCUCGGCCCCCACCCCACGUGCGUCUAGGUGACUCCCGGGCGGGUAGCCUUCUUCCCGGCGCACAUCGCCGGGGCCGCGCGCGAACCCCACCGGCGGCGUUAAUCAUUAGCAGCGCGCGAGCCCCGCCGCCGCCGUCGCAGCUUUUUACCCCGGGUUCCAGCUCGCAGUGCCGCGAGGUUUUCCCCGGCCCCCGCCAAGCCGCCAAUCGCGGGAUUCCAGCCGCCGGCCCGAGUCUCCACCCACUGGAAAAAUUCCUGGUCCGCCCUCCCAGUCUCCCUGCCCCCUCCCGAGGCUGCUCCAGCUCGGCUCGGCCCCGACUUCCUGCUGGGCACUGGGAAGGCGCGCGCGGGCUGGGGUCCCCGGGGGCCGCGCUCGCAGCUGGCCGCGCCCCGGCAGCCAAGGGGUUGGCGGUGGGCGGGAGCGGCCGGCAGUCUCGGCCCCUUCCCGGAGCGACUUUCAAACUUGCGCCUGCGUUGCGGCGGCACCUGGGUGGCUUCGCGCGCCUUGCGUUCCGGACCCGGUGGAGCAGCCGGUGCUCGCUUGUGGGAUCCUAGUUCUCUGCUGCUGCUGCUGCUAAGUCUGCCUGACUCUGUGCGACCCCAUAGACGGCAGCCCACCAGGCUCCCCCGUCCCUGGGAUUCUCCAGGCAAGAAUACUGGAGUGGGCUGCCAUUUCCUUCUCCAAUGAAUGAAAGUGAAAAGUGAAAGUGAAAUCGCUCAGUAUCAAAUACGGGCCCUCGGCAGUGAGAGUGCAGAGUCCUAACCACUGGACCACCAGGGAAUUCCCUCUGCUGUCUAAUCGUGUGUGCUUAGUGGCCUCAGUCAUGUCCACCUCUUUUGAGACACUAUGGACUAUAGCCCACCAGGAUCUUCUGUCCAUGGGAUUUUCCAGGCAAGAAUUCUGCAGUGGGUUGCCAAGCCCUUCUCCAGGGGAUCUUCCUGACCCAGGGAUCAAACUCAAGUCUCUUAAGUUUCUUGCAGUGGCAGGCAGGUUCUUUAACUGGUGCCAACUGGAAAGCCUGCUAUCUAAGCCAUUUUUAUUAUCACAGUGUAUUAAGAGAAACUGUACUUUUUGCAGUCAUUUCCCCUAUCCACUAGCCCCAGGCAAUCACUAGUCUACGUUUAUCUUUCUAGAUUUACCUGUUCUGGACCUUUCACAUAAAUGAGUUCAUACAAUGUAUCGUUCUGUUGACUAGCCUUUUCAUUUAACAUAGUGUUUUCAUCCAUGUUGUGGCAGGUUAUCAGUUCUCCAUUUUUCAUUCCAUUAUAUGGGUUUACUACAUUUUGUUUAUCCAUUCUUCAGUUAUAGACAUUUGAGCUGUUUCCACUUUUUUUUGUAUUAUAAAUAAUAUUGCUAUAAACAAUUGUGUACAACUUUUUGUACGCAGCAUAUAGAUCUCCUAGCUUCUAUAUGACCUACUGGGAGAUGAUUAUUUAUAAAUUAACUUUUUGAGGAAUUGUUAAAUUGUUUUCUAAAUAGGCUACACUAUUUCUUACCAGCAAUAUAUGAGUUCUAAUUUCUCUUUAUCCUCUCCAACACUUGUUAUUGAACAUGGUUUUGAUUUUAGCCAUCUUAGAGUGAGUAUGAAAUGGAUUUAAUUGUGAUUUUGAUUUGCAUUUUCCUAAUGACUAACGAUGUUGAACAUUUUUUCCUGUGCUUAUUGGCCAUUUGUAUAUAUUUUUGGAGAAGUAUCUAUUCAAAUUGUUGUUAUGUUAAAAUUGGGUUAUUUUAUUGUUGUUGUAAGGGUUCUUUAUAUAGUCUGGAUACAAGUCUAUUAUCAGGUUUACAAAUAUUUUCUCCCAUUCUGUGAUUUAUCUUUUCACUGUCUCUCUUUUGAAAAUUUUUCAAAAAUGAUGUGUAAUUGAUAUAUUAUUAUUAGUUUCAGAUAUACAACUUAAUGAUUCAAUAUUUGUAUACAUUGUAACAUGAUCUAGUCUACUUUCUUUUCAUUUUCUUUAUAGUGCCUUCGAAACAUAAGUUUUAAAUCUUGGUGAAGUUGAAUUUAUCUAUUUUUUUUGUUUUGUUGCCUGUGCUUUUCCUAUUGUAUCUAAGAAACCACUGCUUGCCCAAGUUCACAAAAACUUACCUCUAAAUUUCCUUUUAGGAGUUUUAUAGUUUUAGCUUUUGCAUUUAGGUCUGUGAUCCAUUUUGACUUAAUUUUUGUGCAUGAUAUGAACUAGAUAUGCAGAUUCAUUCUUAUGCAUGUGAAUAUAGCUGUGAAUAUAACAUUGUUGAAAAGACUAUUCUUCCCCUAUUGAAUGGUUUUGAUACCCUUAUGAAAAUCAGGUGACUAUAAAUGUGGAGUUUUAUUUCUGUACUCUCAGUUCUGUUGCAUUAAUCUAUAUGUCUAUCUAUAUGUCAAUAUAGUCUUGAUAACUAUAGCUUUGUAAUCAGUUUUGAAGUUGGGAACUGUGAGUCUUCCAACUUUGUUCUUUUUCAAGAUUGUUUUAGCUAUUCUGGCUCCCUUGCUUUUCCAUACGAAUUUUAUGAUCGUCUUGUCAAUUUCUACAGAAAUGCCAGCUAGAAUUUUGAAAUAGAUCACAUUGAGUCUGUAAAUUAAUUUACUGAGUAUCGCUAACUUGAAGAGUGUUAAGUGUUCUGAUCCAUGAACAUGGGAUAUCCUUCCAUUUAUUCAGGUCUUUAGUUUCUUUCAAGUGUUUUGUAGCUUCCCAUAUAUAAUUCUUACAUUCCUUUUGUUAAAUAUAUUCCACAGUUUUCAAUGCUUUGUUACAAAUGGGAUUGUUUUGUUUCUUGAGGGGAGAAGGUAAGCCACUCAAUUUGCAGGAUCCUAGUUCUCCCAUCAGGGGUUAAACCCAUUCCCUUGGCAGUGAAAGUGUAGAGUACCAGUCACUGGACCACUAGGGCAUUUCACUUCAUUGCAUUUUGGAUUGUGUGCUACUAAUAUAUAGGAAUACAAUUGAUUUUUGUGUAUUGCUCUUGUAUCCUUCCAUCUUACUAGAUUCUUUUCGUUACUGGAGUCCACUAAUUGUUUCAUUAGUGAAUUUCUUAAGAUUUUCUAUAUACACAAGAUCAUGUCGUCAAUGGAUUUAAUUCAGUUCAGUUGCUCAGUCCUCUCCGACUCUUGUGACCCCAUGGACUGCAGCACACCAGGCCUCCCUGUCCAUCACCAACUCCUGGAGCUUACUCAAACUCAUGUCCAUAGAGUCGGUGAUGCCAUCCAACCAUCUCAUCCUCUGUCGUCCCCUUCUCCUCCUGCCCUCAAUCUUUCCCAGCAUCACGGUCUUUUCAAAUGAGUCAGUUCUUCACAUCAGGUGGCCAAAAUAUUGGAGCUUUAGCUUCAGCAUCGUCCUUCCAAGGAACAUUCAGUGUUGAUUUCCUUUGGGAUUGACUGGUUUGAUCUCCUUGCAGUCCAAGGGACUCUCAAGAGUUUUCUCCAACACCACAGUUCAAAAGCAUCAAUUCUUCAGCACUCAGCUUUCUUUAUAGUCCAACUCUCACCUCCAUACAUGAUUACUGGAAAAACCAUAGCUUUGACUAGACGGGUCUUUGCUGGCAAAGUAAUGUCUCUGCUUUUUAACAUGCUGUCUA
ensembl:lincRNA